rnacentral:rRNA from 1 species
AUUGAACGCUGGCGGAAUGCUUUACACAUGCAAGUCGAGCGGCAGCGCGGCCUUCGGGCUGGCGGCGAGCGGCGAACGGGGGAGUAAUGCAUCGGAACAUGCCCAGUCGUGGGGGAUAACACUUCGAAAGAAGUGCUAAUACCGCAUACGUCCUGAGGGGGAAAGCGGGGGAUCGCAAGACCUCGCGCGAUUGGAGUGGCCGAUGUCAGAUUAGCUAGUUGGUGGGGUAAAGGCCUACCAAGGCGACGAUCUGUAGCUGGUCUGAGAGGAUGAUCAGCCACACUGGGACUGAGACACGGCCCAGACGCCUACGGGAGGCAGCAGUGGGGAAUUUUGGACAAUGGGGGCAACCCUGAUCCAGCCAUUCCGCGUGAGUGAAGAAGGCCUUCGGGUUGUAAAGCUCUUUCGGCAGGAACGAAACGGUGGGCUCUAACAUAGUCCGCUAAUGACGGUACCUGAAGAAGAAGCACCGGCUAACUACGUG